rnacentral:rRNA from 1 species
CAGUAGCCGCGGGAAUACGUAGGUGGCAAGCGUUGUCCGGAAUUAUUGGGCGUAAAGGGUUCGCAGGCGGUUUCUUAAGUCUGAUGUGAAAGCCCCCGGCUCAACCGGGGAGGGUCAUUGGAAACUGGGAAACUUGAGUGCAGAGGAGGAGAGUGGAAUUCCACGUGUAGCGGUGAAAUGCGUAGAGAUGUGGAGGUACACCAGUGGCGAAGGCGACUCUCUGGUCUGUAACUGACGCUGAGGAGCGAAAGCGUGGGGAGCGAACAGGAUUAGAGACCCCUGUAGUCCCUGUCUCUUAUAC